rnacentral:rRNA from 1 species
CCGUUGCCGGCGACCGGCGCACGGGUGAGUAACACGUAUGCAACCUGCCCGUGGCAGGGGGAUAAGCGGGGGAAACCCCGUCUAAUACCGCGUAACGCGGCCUAGGGACAUCCCAAGGCCGCCAAAGGGAGCAAUCCCGGCCACGGAUGGGCAUGCGGCGCAUUAGCUAGUCGGCGGGGUAACGGCCCACCGAGGCGACGAUGCGUAGGGGUUCUGAGAGGAAGGCCCCCACACUGGUACUGAGACACGGACCAGACUCCUACGGAAGGCAGCAG